AAGGAGAAACCCGAACCAAUCAUCUCAAGCACACGCAACUAUCUGAUCACUACCAUCGCCACCUCUCUCCCUCUCACCAUCAUCAUCACUGUUACUCACUUGAGAGGGCGAAAAUAGGCGGAAAGGCUCAGCAUUCGCAUCGCCAGACGCGCACGGGUCCAUCGGGUUGGAUUGCGGCACGACAUACAUCAGCGAGGUCUGAAAGAAGAGAAACACUAGAUACUUCUCUAAGUUUGUGUGUGUGUGUGUGUCACCAUAGUUCUGUUUUCUCGAUUUUGCCCCCCCCCCUUUUUUCCUCUCUACCCCAUUCUCCUCUCAUUUCACGAUUAUUGUCUUCGCCGUGUGACAGCUUCUCUCGUCGUCAGCCGCCGCUUCCAUUGCUUGAUCUUGCGGCUGCCUUCUCCCCACCCCCUCUGUUCAGUCUCCUCCGCCUUUUGUUUUCUUGUGCCUGACGUUCAGCCUGUCUUGGGCUCUCCGUCAUUUUUUUUUGUUUGCUUGGCGCCUCUCCUCUUUACUUGUUCACACGUACGCGUCCACGCACACGCCCGUUUCUGAGCGGCCCUGCUCCUUGUGUAUCUCUCGUGUCCGUCUGUCUGUCUGUGUGUGUGUGUGUUCGAGUCCCGUCUGCCCGCUGACACACACACACACACACAUACGCGCACGCGCUUUACCCUUUUCCCUCUUGUGUGUGCCCCUUUCUUUCCCUCGAGGGAGGGGAGUGGGCUUCAGCGCCGCUUCAGUACUCGUGCGCUUCAGCGUUUGCCAAUCAGACCGUCGCGCUUGCUGUUAUUGUUGUCGUCCCUCUUCUUGGCAGUGGUCUGCUUUGCCGCGGCUCUGACGAUUGUGCUCUGCUCUCUUACGCACCCACCCCUUUUCCCGCUGUUGUUGUUCGUGCCUCUGUGUGUGUGUGUGUGUGUCCCAGCGCCUUUCUUUUUGUCGCUUCGCCUCGCUCACGGACAGGCCGUUGCCAUCUUGCCACACCUUGAAAGCUGAAUACCGAAAAGAUGAACAGAUCCAUGUCCGCCCGCUCGCUACACGACAACACGCCGCUUAGUAUUUCGUCGGCGCGGCGAACCGCUCGGCGCCGAAGCUCUUUUUCAGCUCGCUCUGUGUCCGCAUCAACCUCCACGCACGCCACACCGAUCCGUGACCGCCCCCCAGUUGCGCAGAGCGAUCGUCGUCCUCGAAAUGGCUGCAACACCAGCAUGGCCGAGUACCCGAUGCCGACGACGCAGACACAGUCCAACGCCAUGAAGGUGUACAUCCGUGUCCGCCCCUUCAGUGAGCGUGAAAUCGCACAAAAGGUGGCGCCGCACAGCACCGUGCGCAUCGACGCACAGAACCCCACGCAGCUCACGAUCCUCGAUCCAUCUCGCGGCUUUCGUCCGCUCACCACGCACCCGUUUACGCGAUGCUUUUGGUCCGUCUUUGCGAAGGGCGAGGGGGAGCUGCUGAGCAAGGUGGACACGUACUUGACGGGCGGCAUGAACUCCGCUCGCCGCUCUCGCGCGCAGUCGCUGGUAACGGGGCAGCCGGUGGUGAAUUCCGUCCGACGCGGCACCCGCACAGGGGUCGACAGUGACGCAACCUCCUCCACCACUGCGGCCUACGACGGCGCCGGCUCCGCGCCAGUGAUGGUUGACGCCAAUGUGAGCCACCCUCCGUACGCGGGGCAGGACCAAGUGUACAUGCACGUCGGCAAGCCCAUCGUGGGCAACACCCUCGACGGAUACAACGGGUGCGUGUUCGCCUACGGGCAGACGGGCAGCGGCAAGACCUUCACGAUGCUCGGCUACGCGCCGAGCACGAGCGACAUCCGCGCUCGCAAAGGGUCCGUCCCCUGCGGGGCCAGCAGCAUGGAGAACAGCACUCCUCUUGACAGCGCUGUGGAGCCGUUUGAGAGCGAUGACGGCGACGACGUGGUGGACAAGACGGGGCUGGAUCCGAACGAGCUGCAAGGCAUCAUCCCGCGCGCGUGCACGGACCUGUUCGAUGGUCUCCGUGCGAAGCGCGCCAAGGACUCCGACUUCACGUACCGCGUGGAGGUGUCUUACUACGAGAUCUACAACGAGAAGGUGUUCGAUCUCAUCCGGCCGCAGCGCAACACGGACCUGAGGAUACGUAACUCGCCCAACUCCGGUCCAUUUAUCGAAGGCCUGACGUGGAAGAUGGUGUCCAAGGAGGAAGACGUCGCCCGCGUGAUUCGCAAGGGCAUGCAGGAGCGCCACACGGCUGCGACCAAGUUCAACGACCGCAGCAGCCGCAGCCACGCCAUCCUCACCUUCAACAUUGUGCAGCUGUCGAUGGACGACUCCGACAACGCGUUCCAGAUGCGCAGCAAGCUGAACCUGGUGGACCUUGCUGGGUCGGAGCGCACUGGUGCGGCCGGAGCCGAGGGCAAUGAGUUCCACGACGGUGUGAAGAUCAACCAGUCGCUGACGGUGCUGGGGCGCGUGAUCGACCGUCUGGCGGACCUCUCGCAGAACAAGGGAGGGGGCUUCAGCAUUCCGUACCGCGAUUCGAACCUGACAUGGGUGCUGAGCGACUCGAUCGGCGGCAACAGCCAGACCUCGAUGAUUGCCACCGUCUCGCCACACUCUAUCAACUACGAGGAGAUGCGGCAGACAAUCAUGUACGCCUGCCGCGCGCAGCAGGUGCUGAAUAAGGCUCGCCGCAACGUCGAUCCAACGAUUAUGGAGCUGCGCGAGCUGCGCGCGCAGGUGGUGGACCUGCAGUUGCGCCUAAAGGAGGCGGGUGGCAGCAACUACACGAACGAGUACGUACGCGGAUUAGAGAAACGAGUAAAGGAGCUUGAGUGGCAGUGCGCUGAUCAGGAGCGCAUUGUGAGCCAGCUACGCGCGGAGCUGGAGAGUGCCGGCAUUGCCGAUCCCACGCUGAUGCUGAAGCCCUCCGCACGGGGUGGAGCGAGUGCGGCAGGGGUGGGUGGCGGAUCUGCUAGCGGCGGUGAUGUUCAGGGCGGCGUGAGCGCCGCGACUUACCGCCGUACCAACGAGCAGCUGCAAUCGGAGUUGACAUCGGCGAACAAAGAAAUCGUGCUGCUGCAGACGAAAUUGCUGGAGUCUGAGAAGGCGAAGAGCGGCAAGCUCGACGGAGAUGCGGAGAGCACUAUCGCGAAGCUCCAGGCCAAGUGUGAUCGCUACCGCAACUCCUUUCGCGAGUGGGAGGCGCAUCUGAGCCAUUACAACACGUAUCAGUGGCGUUGGUCCACCGACUACAUCUUCGGCACCUUCGAGGACAAGAUGAACCUGCUGAUGCGUCAGUGCCAGAAUCUGAUGAUGGACAAGGACGCCUACGUGAUGGACGCUCUGAGCCGUGGCGAGAGCGCGCAACUGCGUGAGACGGCUAAGAUUCAGCGCGAACACCUUGCCGAGGUCUCUGCGCUGACGACGCAGUACCGCGAGUCGAUUGAUAAACUGAAGAAGGAGUACGCAGCCAGAGACGAGGAGCGGCUGAAGCGGCAGAAGGAGGUGUCGAACAGCUCUGAGUCGCGCAUGCAGGCCACCAGAGAGACCUUCGAGCAGGAGAAGCGCCGCUGGGUGCAAGAGCGCGAUAAUAUGAAGCUUGGCUACGAAGAGAAGCUGGCGGCUCUGCGUGCCGAGUACCAGAGUGACCUGAAGCGACUGCGGGAGUCGCUCGCUUCGACAACCGGUGAUCGCCAGCGUCAGGGUGACGCCCUGCAGGAGCUUCAAGAGCGGCACGAGUCGGAAAUGAAGAGCAUCGGGCAGGACAUGGAGCGGGAGCGUAAGCGCCGCGAGGCGGAGUUGGAGAUGGUAAAGAAGCAGAUGAACACGGAGCUGGCGCGCAAGGAGGAGCAGAUCGCCGCGCGUGAUGCGCAGGCACGUAGGACGGAAGAGGAGGCGGCGAAGCUGCGCCGCGACAACCUGAAGCUACAGACCGACAUGCGCACCAAGGAGCGGCAGCUGAACACCGAGAUCAAGGACCUGCUUUUGAAGCAGGAGAACAUGAUUGCAGUCUUGACCACUAUUGUAGGCAACUACGAGAACUCCACGAGCCUCACGAAGGACAUCGAGGCCCUGCGCGCCUUUGUUAGGGACAAGGACUACGCGGCCUUCCGCGCCAAGGUAAAGGAGGGUGCAUUUCGUGACCCGGCCAGCCGACGGGCGUCAGCGGUGAUGCGGAACCCCAGCUCCGUCGACGAGCAACGCAGCCGCGAAGUGGAGGACAUUCGUAACGCCAUUGAGAACAUGCGCAAGACCCGCAGCGACCAACAGGCGAACCUGCAGCAGAUGCAGCAGCACGUGUACGAGCAGCUCUCGCGCAGUCGUGGCUUCCAGUCCGGCGGCGAGGUGGACGAGAAGUCGCAUGACGGCAACACCCCCGCUAAAAACGGCAAUGCGGCGGCGUAGAGGGAGAGGCGUUCGACUGGUGUAGGCGAGUGUGGGACGACACUCGCGACGCUGUGACACAAGAGCUGCUUUUGCGUUUCUGUAUCCGUCCCGCGGUUAAGUGUAUCUGAGUUGCCUGCUUGGCCGUCUGCGGUCUCUUCUUUUUCCUGUAGUCCUUUGGCACUCCGCCUUCCGCGUUGCUCCGAGCUGUUCUAGUAGAGAGCGUAAGUCCAGGGAUGGAGAGGAGGGGGGUGGGAUCGCCGACACGCCCACCUCACGGAACUGCCUCCGCUUUUUUUUUUGUUUCGUCUUCUCCUCUCCCUCCUCCGUCGGGUUCACCCUAGUGAGUUGCCACUGCUUCUCGUACCUCUGCUCUUCUUCUGUUUCGGAUUUUUGGUCACAGGUCCUGCCUUGUCCUCCGCGCCUUAGCUGAUUUUAUUUGUUUCUUCUCCCUACGGAAUCUUGGCCUCACCCGAACCACCUUUACACAGGCGGCGGGCACGCGUCAGGUGCUUCGCUGGUGUGGCGCUGCUCCUCGCGCCGCACUUUGCUCCGCUGUCACCCCCACCCCCGUCUCUCCGACGAGUCGUCGCUGUGUGUUUCGUCCCUCUCGGAGAAGGCGUCAGUGAGCGAGAGGCUGAGAGGGGGAGGUGAGGUGCCUGUGUGUGUGUGUGUGUCUUCUUUCUGACGCUUCCGCACUGUUUUCUCACUCUGGAUUCUUCGACUCGCCCAUCCCCUCACGCGUGGAUGCCUGUGUAGCCCGCUCUCAGGACAGCAGCAGCGUGAGAUAUGCGCGAUGAACGACAGCCCCCCCCCCCGCAUUUCGUGUUUGACGCCUCUCCUCCUCCCUCUAUGUCUCUCCUUUCGCGUCCCUGUUCUUGACACAUCUCUGUCGGUGUGCUGGCUGCGAGCGCCGGGGCAUCGAGAGGCGGGAGUCAGGAGAAACGCCGCGUGCUCGUGUUCGAGUUGGCCCCUCUCGCUCCGUAGACGCAAAGGGACGCAGAAACAAAAAGACGAAGGAGUUGCAAGAGGAGACGGGAAGCCGGCGGCUGAGAAGUGUCUGUGCGCUUGCGUGUGCAAGGAGAGAACGCGGUUGACGCGAUUUUAUUUUCCGUCUUUGCCCAUUGCCGUGCACUCUACUUUUCAAUUUGCACGCACGCACCCCCACCCCCACCCCUUGCGAUAUGUGGAGGCGGCAGAGAGUGACGGAUGGUGGGCGUAUGUGCGCAUGUGCAUGUAAUGGGCCGCUCUCCGAUUUGUGUUGUGCUGUUGUCGGCUUUGGCACCGGAAAUGAAUAAAAGGUACCAAAAUCCUUUAAAGGAAGCAACACGAAAAAAUAAUAAUAGCCAGGGAUGACCCCGCUUCUGCUGCUGCCGCCGCCGCCCCCCCCCCCCACUCCCUCCCGCCCUCCUCUACGACGCCCUUUGCUUGCGUGGUUGCUGUGUUCUUUAGCGUCCUCUUGCUCUUUUUUUUUCUCUGCCUCCUCCGUCGCCUGUCGGCCGCCGCGCGUGCGUGCGUGUGUGUGUGCGUGCCUCCGCCGCUCGAUUAUUGUUGUGUCUCUUACGCCGUUCAUGCUUUGAAACUUCCGCCUCCCCUCCUCCUCGCGCUCACCUCACCGCUGUCUCUCUCUCUCUCUCUCCGCGCUCUUUUUUUUUCGGUUCACUCGAAGGAGAUGGGAGAGCGGAGCCCGCAAGCGCGAUGCUCGUUACGGUGCUAACUAUAAGGGCAGGGGGUGCGCUACUGGGCUCUCCCCUUGUUUGAUGCGGACGUCCGUUGGUGGCAUGUUUGUGUGGGCCGUUGUGUAUAUGCCCUUACGGCGCGCGCUGUUUCGCCAGGCUGUGCGUGUGUCUGUGUUUCUCUCCCUCCUCUUGUAAUUUUGCUCUUACUUACGUGAUUGUGUCUUGUCGGUGUACAUUGGCGCCUCUCUCCUUCUUCACCGCCUCUUCCGUGUGUCUUCUCGCUCUCUUCUGCUUGGUUGUUAUGGCUUCUCUUGUGCCUGCGUGUCUGCUGUCCAUCUCGUGCCUCUCCCUCGCCUUUCUUGGGUGUGUUGUUUGGGCGCACACCCGUCUCACUGCCUCGAUGCUUUAUUUACACUUCUCCGUUUUUUUUUGUUUUCCGAACAACGACAACGUCAGGAAAGAGCGCACAAACGCGCAAGACACACCGACACGCGUACAUACACAACAAGAGAGAAGCAGGGCCGAGCGUGUCCUCUUAUGUGUUGCUCUGACACACAAACUGCGCUUACCGUUUUCCUUUGUUCCCCCCCCCUCCCCUUCCCUCCCUCCCACCGUCCCACCAACACACAACACUCCGUCAUCACCCGCACUUUUCUAGCCGUCUCUUGUCUGGCCUCUCACGAUCACCUUUUAUUUGUAUUUUCCUUUCGUUGGUUUUUUGAAGUAAUCCCGCUCUUACUCCCUCCGUCUCCCUCGCGUCGGGUGAUUUCGAUUCGUGUUUUCUUUCGUGUGCCGCAUGCGUGCACAUACACGCGCUUCGUAUCUCUUUAUACAUGUCGGGUUGACGCUUUCCUUGUUUCUGGAGGUGGUGGGGUGGGGGAGGAGGGGGAGAGGGAUGCUCUCGUUCCGUUUAAGUAUCGCUGCUGUUAUACCGGCUGUCGGGACACUCUAUACGUUAUUGUACCUUUUCAUGGUUUUCGGGUUAGAUUCUUGACUUUUCCUUCUUCCUUCGCGCUUUCGUGGCACGUAUGCAUGUAUGUAUGUGUGAGUGUGUGGGGGAGGGGAGGGGUGGAUACACGGCCUGGGCUGCCAUUUUCCCUUGUUGUUGGUUUGGUUGUUGUUGUUUUUUCGUCGACGUUUUUCUUCUGCUGCUGUGCGCAUCUCAUCCUCCGCUGUUAGGUUCACUUUACCUCCCCACCACCUCCACCACCACCACCCGCUGGCUGGCGUUUUCGCUUCGCCCAUCUCCCUUGUCCAUCCCUUCCUUUGGUCUUUACCCGCGUUUCUUGUCUUUUCGUUCCCCUUCCCUUGGGCUUUGGCUUUAGGCACGCAUUCUCACACACGUACACACCCACAUCCGCCCAAUCCCUCCCCUCCACCCGUUCACCUCCUCCCGCUUUUACGCUACGUCAGAAACGUCGAUUUUUUUGUUUUUUUUUUGUUCCUCCUUACGUCCUUUUUGUUGUUGUUGUCCUAAUGCCAUAGGGAGCGCACCUCAGUGCGUGGGGAGGAGGGGGUAUCCACGGCCCAGUACCCACACACACACACUCUCUCACACCUGCUUCCUCCCCAUCCCUGCCGGUGCCGAGGAACUUCUGGUGAUGGUAGCGUCAAGUGCCUACGACGCAGCGGGGUCAGCGCGACUCCUCGCUGCCGACGUCGGCGGCCGUGGUGUGCAUGGGGCUGCCUUGGUGCGACCUGCGACAGCGAGCACGUUUGCGCCAUCCACAUGCCCGGCAACGUGCCAGCGCAACUCGAACGUAUCCCACCCGCCCACCCGACUCUCACUGCCCACCGGUGUGCAGCCUGCGAGGCGGGGGCGGGCGGAGUUGGAGACAGCGGCCGCGCUCAGGUCACUGAGUCGGUGCAUUGCCGUGACGCGUGUGUCUAGCGCUGCUUGGCAGCGUGCGAUAGGGCCCGUGACAGGCCUACAGUAGAGCUGGCCUCGUCUUGUGCGGCGGAGAAUGGGGAACUUGGAACGAAGAAGAGCAAAAACGUCGGUUUUCCGCUUCUGUGCCUUGGCAGUGAUGUGUGCGUCCGUGUGUCCAUCGUCCUCCGCUUGUGUGUCCGUGUGUUCUUUUUGGUUUCUCGAUACCCCACUCCUCCCCCUUCUCUCUCUUUUGUUGGGUGGGCGGCAAUCACAUCAAUAUCGCUGAAGUCCAUACCCAUUUCUUGAGGCGGAGGACCCCACCUCCGCCCCCUCCUCCUCCUCCUCGCUGCCGUUCGUGCAUGCGUACGCGGCCGACAUCGCACGCUCUAUUGUAACAUCUGCCAUGGCCAACCGCCACAGAACAGAAAAGUCCGACAAGGCGCAUCCCCCCCCCCCACACACAAACCGCAGUCAUCCGCGGCCCUGUCUCUCUCUAUAAGGAAGGCGAUCAAGGGAAUUCGCCUUCAUCGCGUACGCGUGUGUAUGCGGGCUUCUCACUCAUUUCUGCCGGGGCAGCCUCUCCCCU
rnacentral:misc_RNA from 1 species